rnacentral:rRNA from 1 species
AGCGCAGGCGGGAAGACAAGUUGGAAGUGAAAUCCAUGGGCUCAACCCAUGAACUGCUUUCAAAACUGUUUUUCUUGAGUAGUGCAGAGGUAGGCGGAAUUCCCGGUGUAGCGGUGGAAUGCGUAGAUAUCGGGAGGAACACCAGUGGCGAAGGCGACCUACUGGGCACCAACUGACGCUGAGGCUCGAAAGUGUGGGUAGCAAACA